rnacentral:rRNA from 1 species
GCAACGAGCGCAACCCCUAUCUUUAGUUGCCAUCAUUGAGUUGGCACUCUAAAGAGACUGCCGGUGUCAAACCGGAGGAAGGUGGGGAUGACGUCAAGUCCUCAUGGCCUUUAUGACCAGGGCUACACACGUACUACAAUGGCCGGUACAAAGGGCAGCGACACAGCGAUGUGAAGCCAAUCCCGAAAAGCCGGUCUCAGUCCGGAUUGGAGUCUGCAACUCGACUCCAUGAAGUUGGAAUCGCUAGUAAUCGCGGAUCAGCACGCCGCGGUGAAUACGUUCCCGGGCCUU